CAUGCAUAUCCUGAGGUGCUCAGAAAACUUCAAAAAAGGUUACGGCCAAACAAAUUUCAGAAACGCAUACUUGCUUUUCCAGCUCUGUCUUCUUCGUCUAAUGAGACCACGGUUUCACUAGGGACCACAUGAGGGAAGAAAAGGAGAGAGAGAUAGCGAAUAAAGUGAGAGAGGACACAAGCGAUCUGCAGACCGGUGGAACAAAACAAGAAGGGGAGUGCUGGGCUGUGACAGAAACUCAAGUCUGAGCAGUCUGUCCCCUUAACAACUUGAUGAUACUGUUGAAAUCGGUCCAGCGGACAGUGCUUGUCAACUGUGCUCCAGGUA